AGUGGUUCUUAACAGUUCAACAGUUCUUUAGGCUAAUUGUGAAAUGUUUAGGACCACUUG
rnacentral:pre_miRNA from 1 species